ACUUUUCUCACAGAACACGUUGAGGAGAUGAAGAGCUGAAGAUCGAACAUAGAGCUGAAGAGCUGAAGAUCGAACACAGAGGGGAAGAGCAUCUAUCACGAUUCUUCCACCCAUAGCUGUCAUGCAGGUGGCCACCUAAAAACUCAUGAUUUCAUUCAACCUAUAGAACAAGCAAGGAAGAGAGUUGGGAAAGAAGAAAAUAAAGUUAGGUAGAGGCUAUUGAAAGGUUUCCUCCAUCAGCAGAACAUAUUUUUCCUGGUGGCAUUGGUACAUAUAGUAUUUCUUAUUCACAACAAAGGAUUCCAAAGCCAGAAGCAACACAUUUGCUGUUACACAAGCUAGCAGUACAGAUAGAGACGAUAAAAUGAAUCUUCCAUGAAAAUUGGAAAGACUGGAAAGGAGAAUCUCGCUGGAGAUAGAUAGACAUGUCGUAAGAGGUCCAUAUUCAUUUCAUGGUUUCUUCAUACUACCUGUUUUCUUUAAUGUUAAACUUUGUGAAUGGCAAUAAUCUUCGGGAUAAGAAUUCCCUGCUAACAAUCAUUUUCGAACGACAAGUUCGAUCUCCUCUCUGAUUCCAUCAACAUCACUAUAGUAUUGUUAUUCAAAGAGAGAAUCCAGAAGACAUCCGCUCCAGUUAUCAUUUGUUAUGUGCUUGGCAGAAGCACGUUUAAACAUGGGAGGAGAGAAACCUACAACAUCAUUAGUACGACAGUCACAACUGUCUUCAAACCAUAAUCAUAACACGGCACCUUUGAACGCACACUCAUCUCCCCAGUCAGCAGUCAGUGACUUGCUUUCAUUCAUAAGAAUGCUUCUUAUUUGUCUUGAUGUUUUGUGCUUGUAAUUCCAUUCCUAACUCUUCAAAUACAAUGCAGGCUACCAUCAGCAAUGGAAAAUCAUAGUUUCAUAUAUAUGAUAACAUCGGCUAAGAAUGCACAAAAAGAUGAUGACGAAGAAGAGGAAUUUUUUGUUAAGAAAUAGUCACCUUCACCAUCCAUAGGUUUGUCUUGCUUAAGUCUGAUAAUUGUGUUUCUAAGUACUCUGAUUCUGUCAUUUACCAUCCAGAGGAUUAACUAGCACAGUCUUCACUCAGUUUUUCUGUCCUGUUAUUUGAGGCAUAAGCUAUCUUUCCCUAGAUAUCAUGUGGGCAAGAUAUCUAUAUAAAGUCCGACUCUUCUGAGAUAGAUAUAAGUACAUGUUGGUCUACUUCUUCACAUUAGUCUUGAGUUUUUCUUUUACCAAAUUGAAAUAUCUAUUGAAGUUUUGAAAAGACAGUUUCCUACUUAUUACACUAAGAUGAAUAUAGAUGAAUCAUCAGAAAACUCUUAAAAUGUAGUUUGAGUAUUGAACAAUUUGUGCUUCAUUUUGUAGUCUUUGAGAUUAGUAUGAGUAACAUCCUUUUAUUUUGAUUUAGAAGGUCAUCAUGAGCAAGCCAUGCUUGAUUUAACAGGGCAUUAGUAGUUUAGGUGCAAACUAUUUUAAACAUCAUCUUUAGACUUUAUAAGUUUUCAUUAUAUUAUAGAUUAUAUUUGUUUCUUUAGCAUUAACCAAUGACCAUGUUACUCAACGAAUAAGGUUUUUGCUUUAACAAUAAAAAGUUUUGCUGCUUACUGUGAAUGUGUGAAUGUGGUGCUGCUUACUGUGAAAGUGUUGCUGCAGCUUUAGCUUAUGAUUGUUUGUGAAUGUGUUUUAAUAUGAAUAAUAAUCGUCAUGGCAAGUGAUGUUGCUUCAAAAAAUUUCAUGUUAUGGGAAGUGAAUUAGAGUACAAAUGUUUUACUGCUGCUCAUUAGUUGAACUUUAUGAUGGAUUACUUAUUAAAAUUUGUCGUUUAACCUAGUCCCCGAUGAGAAUCUAGAGCUUCAUGUUUCGGGCUUUGGCCUUGCCAAGCUUUUGGUUGAUAAGCGAUUGAUUUGCAAAUUUCAUUUUUUCCCGCUAAUUCAUGAUUUUUAGUUUGACUAUACUAGAUGGAGUUUUCACAAAGAGCUUUUCAAUGAUCUCCGAUUUACACUAAUGUCUGGUCACAGGUCAGUCGCUGCUGAAACAAAAUCUUUUCCAUUUUUCUUCUCAAAAACAUCUUUAAUUACCAUCAGUUCUGGAAUAUCUGAGCACCGUGGGUCAGUAAAAAUCAAACUUGAUAUUCCCUCUUUCAAAUCAGCUGGAGAUUGCUUUUGCUGUGCAAUAAUUGUUAGUCUAGACACAAUAAAUUUCUGUCUUUAACUAGUUCAUGAUCCAAAGAUGUAGUUUCAUGAUAGAAGGAUUUAAAAUUUCUCUUUUGGUCAAGCAGAAGUGUUUAAGAAGUUCUACUGUAUUGCUAACUUAUGCUUGAUGCGUUGACAAAUGGCUGCAUUAAUUGCUAAUAAGUUGGACCAAAUUUCCCCUUGAAGUUUUACCAUGGAAAAUUUUAUGUUACCAUUGAAACAGAUGGAUCUAGGAUUAUAUUUUAAUGGCUUCAAAGUAUUUUUUUUAAAAUCCUAGAAAAGCAUAGACAUUAACUUUUGAACCUAUAUUUUAUUUUUUGUUUUAUUAUUAAAAAAGUAUACAAAAGUGUAAUCCACAAGUUGGGUCAGGGAUGGCGGAGUAGGAUGUACAGACCUUUCUUUGAUAUAAUUUGCAGUAGAGCUGCAUGGAUGUGGCUACUGACUAUUUCUUCCUUUAACUUGACCCUCUCUUCUCAAGAAAGGAGUAAAUUUUUCCUAGAUAUAAUUGAUGCACUCGAGGCAAAAGAAGAAGAUAUCCUGGCUGAAAAUGAAGCUGAUGUGGCUGCUGCUCAACAAGAUGAUAUGAGAAUUCUUUUAUAUCUCGGUUAGAUAUGAAACCAUGAAAAGUAAGACAUUGCUCACUUACGAUGGAUAGUGUCGUGAAAAUAUUUUUCACUGCAAUAUCACAUAGUUAUUUUAGUAAUCUUGCUGGAACUAUUAAAGAUUUUAAGUCUUGCGAACUCAGUCUGUGAGCUUGCUAACAUGGAUGAGCCAGUUGGCCACAUUUUAAAGAGGACAGAAGUAAAAUAAUUCCUUUUCGGGCACUAACACAUGACUUUAAACAUUAUCUCUUUGACUUGAAAAAUGAUGAGGUUAAUAAACAAGAUAUCAGUAUUUAUACAACAAGAUUACUUUAAUUAAGAUGAGGAACAAAGAUCAGUUUGUAGAGGAAUCUUUUGAAAUAGCUUGAUAUGAAAAAACUUUCUGCAAACUUGGACAAUGUAGCGGAUGAGACAAUAUAGUGGAUAGACUAAUAUACGUGUUUGAGAGUGGCUGAAAAAGCUAAGAAUGUUGUUAUGGAAAAACAAAUGGUAUAGAAAACUAUUUUUCACUGUACUAUAUCUUUAACCACGAAGAAGCUUGGCCAAGUUUGAAUUUUAGGAAAUACUGGUAAAGAACAUCUUGUUAUGACUAGAAAAUUUGAUCACUACCUUUAAAUUCACUCUUGGAUGUAAUUUUGAUUUCUGUAAAUGCUAUAACCAUAUCCAGCUUGCUGAUGGAAUCUUAUUGGAGAAAACAUCACUAGUUCAAAUAUGAAGGGCUGCAAAUUAUAUUCCUUUUUUUAUCUGAAAGUUCUACUGCAUGUCACUUACAUAUCUCUCUUAUAGAGCAGUUCCUUUUUGGGUUACAAAAACCAACCAAGAACCUAUCUUCCAGAUGGUAUUUGCCACGUUUUUAUUGAUAAGUUUGCUGACAUUGAUAUGGCCAAAAGUAAUGUUUUGGAUGCAAAACUAGAUUACCCAGCAGCCUGCAAUGAAAUGUAACUUUUAUUUCUCUGUCCUAAUAAAAUCACCAGUAUCAAUCAUGUAAGAUACAUCUUUAACAUCAUUUGCUUAAUUACAUUUUUAAUAUAGGAACGCUUCUCGUUCAUGAGGAUAUGGUGCAAACUGGAGGUCUUAAUGACCUUAUUCUGGAACUUCAAGAAAAAGGUGAGGCUUCUUCUGGGGACUCCUAAAUUUCACCAAUUUAUUGUUUAUUUUGAAUGUGCAGGAAAAUAUAGGUAAUUGAAUUUGAAUUGUGUCAAGAAGUAAACUCCAUCUAUUGUAGUGAACGAAGAAGAGUUUUUGUACUAUCGUCAUAAAUGUCUGAAUGCACUUGAUUUU